rnacentral:rRNA from 1 species
GACGAACGCUGGCGGCGUGCUUAACACAUGCAAGUCGAACGGUGAAGGUGGAGCUUGCUCCGCCGGAUCAGUGGCGAACGGGUGAGUAACACGUGGGCAACCUGCCCCUCACUUCGGGAUAACUCCGGGAAACCGGGGCUAAUACCGGAUACGACCUCCUUGGGCAUCCUUGGAGGUGGAAAGUUUUUCGGUGAGGGAUGGGCCCGCGGCCUAUCAGCUUGUUGGUGAGGUAGUGGCUCACCAAGGCGACGACGGGUAGCCGGCCUUAGAGGGCGACCGGCCACAGUGGGACUGAGACACGGCCCAGACUCAUACGGAGGGCAGCAGUGGGGAAUAUUGCGCAAUGGGCGGAAGCCUGACGCAGCUACGCCGCGUGCGGGAUGAAGGCCUUCGGGUUGUAAACCGCUUUCAGCAGGGAAGAAGCCGCAAGGUGACGGUACCUGCAGAAGAAGCACCGGCUAACUACGUGCCAGCCGCCGCAGUAA